rnacentral:rRNA from 1 species
UACGUAGGGGGCAAGCGUUGUCCGGAUUUAUUGGGCGUAAAGAGCGUGUAGGCGGCUUUACAGGUCCGUUGUGAAAACUCGAGGCUCAACCUCGAGACGCCGGUGGAAACCGUAAAGCUAGAGUCCGGAAGAGGAGAGUGGAAUUCCUGGUGUAGCGGUGAAAUGCGCAGAUAUCAGGAGGAACACCGGUGGCGAAGGCGGGUCUCUGGGCAGUAACUGACGCUGAGGAGCGAAAACGUGGGGAGCAAACAGG